CUUCUCCGUUCUUCCUUUUUUGAUGGAGAAAUCAAAAUUCUCUGUUUCUCACUUCUUCUUCGAAACCCUACAAAUCAAUGUCCUUAGUUCGUUCUCUCUUGUCGAACCAAAAAGCAAAACCCUCUUCGCCUUCGAUUCUCUGAUUCAUCGUCGGUGUAAAGCUUCUACCUUUAUAGAUUUCAUCGUUGGUGUAAAGCUUCUACCUUUAUAGAUUUCCUCUGGUUGAUUUGUUGUUGUGUGAUUCGGUUUGAUGAUCAUAGAAUGCUGAGGCUUGAGACUUGGUGGUGGCGAUCCAGGCUUUGGUUCCUCUUCUUCUGGUUCGUCUUUGGGAACUAAUCUAACCUCUGCUUCGUUCUCAUGAUGGUGCUCUUGCUUCCUCUUUUCCCUUUCAAGUGAUUAGAGAGUAGGAGAAUGUUUAUAAGAGGAGUUUAUAUAUAUAUUGAAGAGAGGAACAGAGGUAUUAUAUUAGCAGCAAAAUUCAGAAACGACCACAGACUGAUGAGUCGCCUCAUCCCUCAGGAUACUUAAAUAUCACAGAUUUCGCGAUUAGGGUUUCUCUGUAGUCGAGUUUACUGAUUUUCCUUAUCAUACGAUGUUGGACACGGGCUUCAGUAAGAGAAGGCCCACCUUCACGGCCCAAUAAGUAUCAAAUGAUAAGUAGCUCGACGUAGGCUCGCCAAGGUGGUUCCGGCCCAUUACCGAGAUGCAGAGAAGAUCAAGGAAGAAGUUGAGAAUGAAGCGGAAGACGGAGUGCAAAGAUCUCGUAGGAAGUUGUAAUAGCUAGAGCUUAUAAAUAAGGGCGGAUUGCCUAACUUGUAAUUCAUUCAUUCUCUUGUAAGCAAAACAUCUAUAAAGUUAUA